UGUGAAGCAUCAUAACAUGAGCUAGCAUCCUUGUAUAGGUGAUCAUGGAUUUGUCAUUUGUUUAUGCCGUAUGGUAGAAAGAUGAAGAUGGAACUCUUCUUCCCCUUUUUUUUUUUCUAUUUUACUUUAUUCCUUAAUAUAUACCCACAGGAAUCAAGAAGCCACACUAUUUUUUGACAAAAAAUGCAAAUACCUAGCUUUCUAUAAUUAGCCAGAGCAAGAUAUUUUUGUAGCAAACUUCUAGCCUGUAACAAGUGGCUGUUUGAUUUCAGAAAAUAUGGAAUCGACUGCCACCUGUUGGAUUGCAGAAAAUAUGGAAUCGAUUGUUAGGAAGAUGUUUAGUGAUUGCGGAAUUGACUAUUAGGGAGAUGUUUAGUGAUUGCAGAAAAUAUGGAAUCGACUGUUAGGGA